GGAUGACAUCACUCAAGAAAAAUAUGAAUCCGCAGAAUUCAGUCCUGAUGAUUAUUCAGAAUCUGAACAAGAAAAGAGUUCUCAUAUGCCCAAACAAGAUAUAUAUAAAAAGAGAUUGCCUCCUGUAGUUUAUGAAGAUCCUUAUCAAGUUUCACUUCAGUACAUGGAGAAGCACCAGAUUC
rnacentral:lncRNA from 1 species